UACGUAGGGUGCGAGCGUUAAUCGGAAUUACUGGGCGUAAAGCGUGCGCAGGCGGUUUUGUAAGCCAGAUGUGAAAGCCCCGGGCUCAACCUGGUAAUGGCAUUUGGGACUGCAAGGCUGGAGUUUGGCAGAGGAGACUGGAAUUCCUGGUGUAGCAGUGAAAUGCGUAGAUAUCAGGAGGAAUACCGAUGGCGAAGGCAGGUCUCUGGGCUAUAACUGACGCUCAUGCACGAAAGCGUGGGGAGCAAACAGG
rnacentral:rRNA from 1 species